UCACUGGUGGUCCAGUUGGCUAGGAUUCUGCGUUCUCAAUGCAAGGGUCCCGGGUUCGAUCCCUGGUCAGGAAA
rfam:TPA: Bos taurus chromosome 20, whole genome shotgun sequence.